AGUCACUGACAUUAGAUACCCGCGUAGUCCAGGGUGUAAACGCUGCAGACUUGGUGUUGGGAACCCUUCGGGGGUGCUCAGUGCCGGAGAGAAGUUGUUAAGUCUGCUACUUGGGAGUACGUCCGCAAGGAUGAAACUUAAAGGAAUUGGCGGGGGAGCACCGCAACGGGAGGAGCGUGCGGUUUAAUUGGAUUCAACGCCGAAAACUCACCAGCAGCGACUGUUACAUGAAAGUCAGGUUGAUGACCUUACUAGAUUUUCAG
rnacentral:rRNA from 1 species